GGGGGCAUAGCUCAGCUGGGAGAGCGCCUGCUUUGCAAGCAGGAGGUCGUCGGUUCGAUCCCGUCUGCCUCCACCA
rnacentral:tRNA from 1 species